CCACCAGCUAAAUAGGGUGCAUGGCUUGACAUAGGGUGCACCAGUGCUCUCAGGGAGUGCACAUGCAGCCCCUAUGCAUUGCCACUACCUACACUGUGGUUGCUGGGAUCCAAAUUGAGAAGUAGUUUCCCACCUGGAUUAUAUUGGGGUAAAAUGCUCUCAGCUGGUGUGAAUUGGCUAUGGCUCUGCUGAGGUCAAUUAUUAGCUGAGUGACAUCAGCUUCUUUGCAGCCCAUGUACCUAUUUCUCAAUUGGUAUGUAUCUGUCAUUGCUUCACUGGGCUGUAUUGGGCUGAAUCCCUAGCCUGGUGAAAAUUGGCAUAGCUUAAUUGGAGUUGCAUGCUCCUGUGUUGCUGCAAACGUCACUUAAUUCAACUUGUGCCUUAGUUUCUUAUGUGGAAAAUAGAUAGCAAAGCAUUUCCCCCAUUGCCCCGAAGUAGCAUGACAAUAGAAUCCGUUCACACUUACGGGGCUUCCAGAUAAGCCCUGUAUGAAUACUGGGAAACCUGAAGGUCAGGUUGAUGUACAGACAUGAUCAGGGUCUGUUUCUGUCUCUUUUAACUCAGGGUAAUGAAAUUUCCCUCAUUUCCUGUGUAAGUUUGGUUCAAGGUAGAGUACUCAGCACAGUAAGCGGAAGCAUUUAGGUGACCAGGAAGAUGUUGUAUACUGUAUCUCAAAUGUUGGCCCAAGUCUUAUGCGCAGUGACAUUGUGGUAAAAAUACAGCAUAAUCUAUACACCCUGCUUUUGUAAUUGCUUGUGCACUCUGCAUGUUCUCACUCUCGCUUCCACACUUAUCACUAAGACAAGUAAACUAACAAUUGAUUUAUGAAUAGAACUAAAAUUCUGCAGACGGAGCCAGGAACGGAUGCAAUAAAUAACUCCUUACAAGAGAUAAGCGAAGAGGGACAGGGAAAAAUGUUGAUACAAAGACAUUUUACCCUGACUGAAGGAUGACCAGAGGGGCUUAAGAACUGCCCCUGGGAGAGGAUUUAAGAUGUAAAUGAGACAUGUAUGUAAACCGUCAUAAAACAUGUAACUGCUAAGACAUACAAUGCAAGACGUAAUGCUAAGUCUGCCAAUAAUUGCACGACACGUUGAAAUCUAUUGUUUACGUUGGCUAAAAAGAAGCUUCAGACACAGUUUGAAGUCAACUCGGCUUUGAACAUUGAGUUCCCUUGUCGACCUGUUUGCAAACAAUAAACUCGAGUUGGACCCGGCCUGAGUGUGUAUGACUCUCUCCUUGAGGUGUAUUGGAAAAGCCUCCAGGGGUACGAAACUAGCCGUUUGUGCAACAACAUGAAAGGCUAAAUUCUGGUGAAAUGUCAGGGCCUUCAGGAUUCAGGUCUGUGGAUGGCAUUAGCUGAACAGAGCAGGAAGCUGUGUGUGGGCAACUAUAAAAUGAAGAUUCAAGCCAAAUCCUUAUUGUGCUGGUGUAAGUAAUGACCUGAGAUACUGGUUUUCUCUGAUUAAAAAAAUCCCAAUUUUUUUUUGGAUUAAAAAAACUACCCCAAAUCCACAUUUUUGUUGAUUAAAAUGAAAUGGCUCUAUCUAUCUAUCUAUCUAUCUAUCUAUCUAUCUAUCUAUCUAUCUAUCUAUCUGUGGUGUUUCAUUUUAAUCAUGGAAAAAUGUGGAUUUGGGGUUACUUUUUUAAUCCAAAAAUUGGGAAUUUUUUUAUCAGACAAAACCAGCAUCCCAGGUAAUGACACUCUUGUAUUUAGGAAAUCAGUAGGGUAAAUGGCAAGUCUUUGAAAGCUGCUCCUCCUGGAGCAGCAAAUUGAAAGGAUGCACAAUACAGACAAUAGCAAAUAAUUUUUUUUUUCUUUAAAGAAUCACUAGAUGGCAGAACAUAUUGAAAUAUAAAAACAAAGCCCUGUAGUAAGAACUGAAUGGAAAUAGAAGUUAACUGAGAAAGGGAAACAAUCUUUUCUGAUAUGAAAAAAGAGGACUAUCUAUGAGGAUGAUAUAAAAGGUUUAUAAAAUCAUAAUUGUACUAAUAUAGUGCCAAAUUAUAAUGGCAUGAACAUUGUAAUUUAUUAUACAAUGGGCACAAGACACAAGACGUGUUAAUGUUUAUUAGCUUAAUUUACAGAGCAGUGCAGGUGUGCAUGUACACAUGUGCGCUCUUAAAAAUGGCUAAUGUCAUUCUUGAUGGGCAAUUUGCUUGUGUGUGUGUGUGUGUGUGUAUAUAUAUAUAUAUAUAUAUAUAUAUAUACACACAUACAGACAUAUAUAUCUGUAUCUCAAAUGUUAUAUCUCAAAUAUAUAUAUAUUCCUCAGAAACCUCUAUCCUGCAGCCCUGGAGACAGUAAAUGAUUGCUCCCACUUAGUGGUUACUGGGGACCCAUAAUCCCAGCCAAGGGAGAGAACUGUAACACCUGCAAAGGCAGGGAGGGAAAGUUUGCAGAAACUUGCAGAAAGUUGUUGCUUGCAAGAGCAUAUGCAUGUUUGUGAUUGGCUGGUGAGGCAGGAGAGGGGAGGGGAAAAAAGGGUGGUAAGAGGGACUUGCCAAGGAGGGCAGGGUGUUGGUCUGGGAAGGCUCUGGGGGAGUGAAAGCCCACAGACAGCAGGAGCAGAGGAGAGCUGCUCUUCCCCAUGCAGGCUCUGGCAGAGAGCAGGACUUUCCCAGCAGCAGCACCAGCCAUGGUUAUUGUGUUGCCAGCGUGAAGGAGAGCUGAUGUGUGUGUUAAGCCUGUGUGCUGCUGCUGAAAUCACUUGAGUCUCAAAGUUAAAGCUGAGGAGUUGUACUGAGGGUGUCUUUGAUUCAAUUGGUACAGACUGUUCUAGUUCAUUGAUACCUGCCUUUGCAAUUAGAUUAUUGCUAUCCUGUCCUGCUAUUAACCUCAUUCAUACGCUGACUGUUUUGUAAAUAAUAAACUUUGUAGAUAGUUAGACUGUACGUACACCAGUGUGUGUGGGGACACCACAAGAAAUAGCUCCACAGAAGCCCCCCAGCCUGAGGGGCUGGGAGGUUGACUGAGGCUAUUUGAAUCCCCAGGACCCUGAAUUAUUAUUAACUGCUAGCAGUGAGAGAAGCUCAAGCAACUCUGCCUGGUUGUGUCCAGGCUCCAACUUUUCUACAACAAUGUAAACAACCUGUGCGCACAAACAAUGGUACCAUAUAUACAUGGUUAAUCAGGAAAUGGAUUCUUUAUGCUGGCACAUCACAGUACUUUUCCAUUUUUCUUAUACUUCCCGCUCACUUCUGUGCCUACGUAACAAGUUCACUCAGAGUUAAUGGUCUCCAGAGCCAUCUUAGGUGACUGGCUUCCACAAUCCCUCCUUUUGGCCAAGCUACGCUCAGGCCAACCCAAAAUCAACAAUACAUUUUAAUACCCAUAAGAUUUUUUUAUCUCUUCUUCUCUUUCUUGUUUCUUUUCAAUCUUCAUUAUCAUCAACUGGAUUCCAGUGGUGUGUGCUUGUCUACUUGCAGUGGUUUUACAUAGUUUACAACAACAUAUAAUCAUUUGAACACAGACAAAUCCGACAAGGAGUAUGAAUACUCCUAUUAUAAGGUACUUGAGCAUUUCCUUUAUCCACCCAUGACCCAAAUACUGGACCUGAGGUUGACAGAAUUGCAAUUUAGCCUUUGAGGCUUUGUGGCCUUUAUCCACCAGCGCAUUCAGUAAAAUCAGAGUCAGUUUGACAAGCUGGUUUGGUAAGGGAACACAGCAAAAGAUCAUCCGCAUAUUGAACUAGAACUGACCCAUUGGGGAAAGUGAUGUCCGAAAUGUCUCUCUGCAAAGCUUGGGAGAAGUAAGAUGGGCUUUCACAAAAGCCCUGUGGAAGAGCCUUCCAAGUAUACUGUUGCCUUUUAUAUAUAAAAGCAAAAAGAUAUCAACUAUCAGGGUGCAGUGGUACGCUGAAAAAGGCACUGCGCUAAUCAACUACAGUAAAAUAGGUGGCCGUAGGGGGUAUACAAGCUAAGAUGGUAGCUGGAUUAGGUACAACAGGAAACUUUGGGAUGACAAUAGAGUUAACUGCUCGCAGGUCCUGGACAAACCUGCAGGUUUUCCCAUCUGCUUUCCUUACUGGGAGAAUUGGGGUGUUACAAGGACUAGUACACGGUGAGAUGACUCCCUGUUGCAAUAAAAUUGAAUGAUCGAGGCUAUACCUUGUUCAGCCUCUGGACUCAAAGGAUAUUGUGGCACUCUCGGAAGAAGUUUAAUAGGAUCAAUAAUAAGUUUAACCAGUUCUGUAUUUAAGUGCCCUACCUCAGUGGGUGAGGCAGACCAUAAAGAAGGAUUAACUUGAUCGAGCAGGGUUUCUUCUUCCAUUGUGAGGCUUGCAAGGAUGGGCGUGUAUUCUGCUAAACGUAUGUCCAGUAAUUCCUGUACAGCCUGAGGAGACGGCCCGUUUGUUUCCAGGAGUUCCAAAUAGACACCCUUGGGAGUGCAAAAAAUAGAGCAACCAAGUUUACAAAGUAAGUCCUUUCCCAAAAGAUUUACAGGGGAAGUGGAACUAAGUAAAAAAGCUUGUUCUGCUGAUAAGGGCCCUAUGGACACAGUUAAUGGCUCAGUUACUGGAUGGGGAACGGGCUCAUUAGAGAUUCCUACCGCUUGAACUACCUGUCCGGUCAAGGAGGCAUUUAGAUUGUAUUGCCGAUACAGAGGCCCCGGUAUCAACCAAAAAGGGGGCCACUUUGCCAUCGACCAAAAGAGAGAUUUCUCCCUUUUUUGUUAGGGGGACAAGGGGUACAAGGAGAGAACGGUCUUCUGCCUGGUCCCGUUCCCCAAUGGCCCGUCAUUGUGUUGGAAACUGGGCAGGUGUUAGGUGAUUGGGACAUUCAUUUUUCCAAUGUCCUGGUUGCUUACAAUAAUGACAGUUCUGUCAGUCUACCUGAUUCAUGCCCAUUCCUCUGCUUUUGCCUCUCCGUCCUCCACUGCAUCUCCGCCCUUGUGGAGGGCCCUGAAAUUGCUGAAUCUGAAGAGCUAACAAUUUGUUAUGUUGUUCUUCAACUUUCUCUUUUAGAGAGUGUAAGGGACUGGGUUGUAGGGGACCUUGCAGUGGUUAAGCUACAACUACAGGAGGGCAGGAGUCAAACCAUAGGCUGCACCAGGGGCUAGGAGUCAGAGACUAACCUUGUCUCCCCCAUAAUUCCCAUCCUGAUAACAGCAAAGCAGUAAUGAGCUAGUGUUUGUAGCUGCUUUUUCUAGCAAACUCCACUAUAUGAUCACGUGAGUUGUAGCGACUGUUAAAAAGUAUAUAAGCCUCCUGAUUUUGCUUUUGGGGGGGAACCCCUUCCAAGUGCUUGGAAAAGCCAUGUCAUUUUGGGGUCCCCCCUACAGCUGUAGUUUCAUUUGAAUAAAAGCUUCUGCUGACCUGA